UUAGCUGCGAUGUUCGUAAACAUUUAAGUUUAACCUCUAUAUUUCUAUAAGGGAGUUUUAAAUAGAUAUUGGAUUGUUAGGCCUCGAUUGAGUGGAAAACAUGAAAAUAUCUGCGAACACCCACUUUAAACAAGUGGUGGUUUAAACUUUCUAAUUACUACGGCAUCCGUGGCUA
rnacentral:other from 1 species